AGUGAACGCUGGCGGUAGGCCUAACACAUGCAAGUCGAACGGCAGCUCAGUAAGAGCUUGCUCUUACGGGUGGCGAGUGGCGGACGGGUGAUGAAUACAUCGGAAUCUACUUUUUCGUGGGUGAUAACGUAGGGAAACUUACGCUAAUACCGCAUACGACCUACGGGUGAAAGCAUGGGAUCUUCCGACCUUGCGCGAUUGUAUGAGCCGAUGUCGGAUUAGCUGGUUGGCGGGGUAAAGGCCCACCAAGGCGACGAUCCGUAGCUGGUCUGAGAGGAUGAUCAGCCACACUGGAACUGAGACACGGUCCAGACUCCUACGGGAGGCAGCAGUGGGGAAUAUUGGACAAUGGGCGCAAGCCUGAUCCAGCCAUACCGCGUGGGUGAAGAAGGCCUUCGGGUUGUAAAGCCCUUUUGUUGGGAAAGAAAAGCAGCAGGUUAAUACCCCGCUGUUCUGACGGUACCCAAAGAAUAAGCACCGGCUAACUUCGUG
rnacentral:rRNA from 1 species